UACGUAGGGGGCGAGCGUUGUCCGGAUUCAUUGGGCGUAAAGCGCGCGUAGGCGGCCCCGCAAGUCGGCCGUGAAAUCUCCCAGCUCAACUGGGAGGGGUCGGGCGAGACUGCGGGGCUCGAGGUGGGUAGAGGGCAGUGGAAUUCCGGGUGUAGUGGUGGAAUGCGUAGAGAUCCGGAGGAACACCAGUGGCGAAGGCGGCUGCCUGGGCCUGGCCUGACGCUGAGGCGCGAAAGCGUGGGGAGCGAUCCGG
rnacentral:rRNA from 1 species